AGGCAUUAACAAGUACAGUCGAUCCCUUGAGCCACCGCCUUACGUGUUAAUUUAGCUUGGACGCGUAGUACAAGGAAAGUUACUAAGGAAUUCGAGCGACUAUGGAAAUAACUGUCAGAGACCGGUAUUCUCCUCUGGCAGUUAUCGUUAUUGGCUCGUAGUUCUAGUUCUCUGGCAGUUAUCGGGCUACCACCACAGGUAACCUGGAAGCUGGUAACGGAAUAACUGUGUGUUGUAGACGUUCCUGACUCGGUGACUCCAGUUAAAGGUCGUAGUUCCAGGUGAUAUUUCCAGAGAGGAUAGUAACUGGAGCGAACAAAUAUUUUCGUACUGCUACGGAAACGACCGUGGGCCAUCGGGGAGAGGGGAUGGCAAAUAACGGGAAUCUAUCGUCUCAUUUCUCUGCAAUUCUUGGUGUUCCGGAACAGGUGUCACUAUUUUUCCGGCCUUUGAUUGCGUUACAGGGUAUUGACUUUCGUUCCGCGUUCUUGUUUUUCUUUUGUGUUGUUGAUAUUACCACCAAUAGUUACCAACAUGAAGAGGUCGAGGACAAGCGAAAUGUGGUCAUAUUUCGAAACUCUUGAUCGAGAGUUUGCGAAAUGUACUUUGUGCGGUAAGAAAUUAUCGUACAAAUCGACGACGACGAAUUUAAAAAAAAACAUCUUCAGAAAUCACAUUUAAUUGUGAAUUUCUCUUCACAAAGACCUUCGGAGCUAGAUUUGGGUGAAACCCUUCCUGUAGAGGUGAUCCUUGGCACCAGUAGUGUGGAAGAGGAGCGAGAGGCACACCAACACCAGCAGAUGAGUCUCCGUUUAAUACUUGGGAUAUUAUAACAGUAAGUUAUAGCUCCAGAAGUCAGUCACCAGCAGCAGAUGUCACACAGUUAUAAAAUGGGAAACUUGAAGAAUAAGCUCCAGAAGUCAGCAGCAGCAGCAGCAGCCGCCGUCACACAGCCAUAAUGCGAGAAGCUUGAAGAAUAAUGUGUUAUGGCUCCGAUAGUCUUCCAGCAGCAGCAAAUGUUACACAGUCCUAUAGAGGCAAACUUGAAGUAUAAAGUAAUAGUGUUUUGCAUACAAUGGCAAACUUGACCUUUCGCUUAAAAUUGAGGUACAUUUGCACUGAGUUUAAUGUUAUGACACGUGAAUGGAUUACCAGUGAUGUAUAUGUAAAUACUGGAAUUUGUAACUUAGAACUUAAUUUCAGUAUCGGCUUUGAAAUUUGGUCACUGGAUACAACUAUAUUAUCUUUCAUGUUGAUAGCAGCAAUCAUCAGAUUGCAAUCCAGUUAAGUACCUGUGAGGCAUGAGAUGUCAAAAAUACUUGUGGGUUAUUGGUAGCCUGUGUCAAGGCAUGUGGCACCUCAAAGUUUGUAAGUACAGUAGCAUUUUGUUUUCUGCUUUACUUAAAAAUUGGUAGCUGUAGCACCCAUUCUGACAUUCAAUUAUUUUGAAUUUCAAGUUUCUUAGAAUGAUACUGACAUCAGUUUGUUAACACUAAUCCGUAUAUUAUUUUGUUAAUAUAUGCUGCUAUUUUCCUCAGAUGUUAACUGAAAUUGUUUUAUUGUAAUGAUAACAACACUUCAGCCUUUGCAAACUUGCAGUAUAGGUUACCUGCUGAGAAAUAUUUACUGGAAGAAAUGGUUUCUUGAAUAGGACCGAAAGGAAAACCACUGAAAAUGCCAAACGUGAAUUGGUGAAACAUCUUGUGCUCAAUACUAAAUUUCAUUUGCAAAACACGGAAGUUUUCCUAUCUUUGUGGUGGAACACAACAAAUUCUCAUAAUUUUGCUAGUUUGUAUUCUAGAAAGGGUGCCAGAAAUGGAAGAGUAUAAUUUUUAUUAAAUCUGGCAUUAAAUGUAAGUAGGUUGGAGUACAGAAAGGGGGCAACUGGCCUUCCCCACUGUAGCCUGAUGUGCUCCAACAUGCAUUUGUACUGAUGUGCAGGUGGUUAUAACACUAGUAUCAAACUGCAUGGUACCCACUUACUAAUGUGACCUACCCUUGCAUGAUCUUCUGCAGACAGCAAGAAAUCCGCUACUGCUCUUACUACGUGUCCAACAGUUGUGGAGGAUUUUUUCCCCUUGGUGCUUGACAUGACAUGUUUUACCCUCUGCCCUUAAAAUCUCAAUUCUUGUUACAUUUUUCAUCCAUUUUCUAUCUCCUGAUGGACCUGUAUUGAUUAAAAAACUAAUCACUGCAGAGGUGAUUGUAGAACUUUUGCUAGUGGCAGUGUGGAGGGGCUCCACUCUUUAAAAAAUAAAAUUACAUUGUGGGACAUGGAAUUAUUAUUAGAUGCUUUCAUGGACAUUUUGUUUACUGAAAAAGUCAGUCAUUAUCUGAGGUAUUUAAAUGUUAACUUCAAAUCUAAAACUGCAUCAAAAGAUAAAUUUCAGUAAGUCUUUAACAAGUUUCAGUAUCUUGCUUCACAUGCUGGACCCUCCAACUAUAAAAAACAGUGUUUUGCAGAGAACAGCUAUUCAGAUGUUAACAUCCCAGAAUUUGUGUAGAAGAUAUCCCUUACAUUGUUAGUUUCAUUGUGGUCACACUCUACAGUGUAGUGUUAUCAGCAUACAUAUAGAAGUUUGAAGAACAUAUUAAAUUAAUUGCUGGACAUGCCUUAAGUGAAUAUGUUUACUACUAAUAUGAGUCAGCUAAGUAGUUGCUGCAAGUUUUUAUGUUGUUUCUAAAGUGUCUUUAGACAAGGAUAUUUCUGCUGUUUGUUUCCUGUUCUUCUGUUUCAGAUAACUACUCAUAUAUGCAGCAACUGCUGAAGCAGCCUCUGGCAGUUUAUUGAAGUUCCGUGAACAAAGUGUUGUGUGGUCUGUUUGUGUAAAGUGAUAAAGAAAAAUGUUAAAGUGUAAUUGCAUAUGUAAUUGUGUAUAUAUUUAAUCAUUAUUUUUGCUAGUUGUAAGAUCUAUUUUCAUGUAAAUCAGAACAUUGUAUAAUAAGUAACAACCGAAUGAGGCAGUGUAGCUAUUAACAGCACUGACCUCAUAUUCGGGAGGAUGGGGUUCGCACUGUCUGGCCAUCCUGGAUCGCUAAGGCAAAUGCCGGGAUGGUUCCUUCAUCAAGGCCACGGCUGACCACCUGUCCCGCCCUUAAAGAGAUCCUUUAAACAUUGUGUGUAUACCCAUAUUUUGAAUGAUUGAUGUUUGUUGUAUUAUGUUGAGAUAUUCUUGGAUGAAAUAAAAAAAGUUUAUACAUUUGUAUUUGUGGUCACAUGUUAAAUUACUGAGAAAAUUGCAGAGUGAUUAUGGCACCGAAUUUCCAUUCAGGUGCAUUGGGAUCCUUCGCCUGUUUGAACAUCCUGAUUUACAUUUUAUUUGGGUUCCCUAAAUUCCUUUAGGCAAAUACUUUUGUUGGUUCCACUGAAUAGGCCAUGGCAGAUUACCUGCCAUGUCCAAUCUGAGUUUCUGCUCAGUCUCUUGACAUGUUAACUAUUUAUUCAUUCUCUUUAUAAUGCUGCAAUGUUUUUAAGUGUUCCAUAUCAUUG